rnacentral:rRNA from 1 species
GUAGGGAAUAUUGGGCAAUGGAUGCAAGUCUGACCCAGCCAUCCCGCGUGCCGGAAGAAGGCCCUCAGGGUUGUAAACGGCUUUUGACGGUGAAGAAUCGACAGGAUGCGUCCUGUUUUGACGGUAGCCGUUGAAUAAGCACCGGCUAACUCCGUGCCAGCAGCCGCGGUAAUACGGAGGGUGCGAGCGUUGUCCGGAUUUAUUGGGUUUAAAGGGUGCGUAGGCUGGAAGGUCAGUCAGCGGUGAAAAGCUGUCGCUUAACGAUAGUCUUGCCGCAGAUACUUCCUUUGUUGGAUGAGGAGGAGGCCACUGGAACGGAUGGUGUAGCGGUGAAAUGCAUAGAUAUCAUCCAGAACACCGAUUGCGAAGGCAGGUGGCUGUACCUUAAUCGACGCUGAUGCACGAAAGCAUGGGGAGCAAACAGGAUUAGAAACCCGUGUAGUCC